AUUGAACGCUGGCGGCAGGCCUAACACAUGCAAGUCGAGCGAGCGGCGGACGGGUGAGUAAUGUCUGGGAAACUGCCUGAUGGAGGGGGAUAACUACUGGAAACGGUAGCUAAUACCGCAUACCAUCAGAUGUGCCCAGAUGGGAUUGGCUGGUAGGUGGGGUAACGGCUGACCUAGGCGACGAUCCCUAGCUGGUCUGAGUGGAUGACCAGGCACACAGGAAAUGAGACACGGUCCAGAUGUCGACGGGAGGCAGCAGUGGGGAAAAUUGGACAAUGGGCGCAAGCCUGAUGCCGCCAUGCCGAGUGUGUGAUGAAGGGCUUCGGGUUGUAAAGCACUUUAAGCGGGGAGGCGUUACCCGCAGAAUGAGCACCGGCUAACUCCGUGCCAGCAGCCGCGGUAAUUC
rnacentral:rRNA from 1 species